UGUGCCAGCAGCCGCGGUAAUUCCAGCUCCAAUAGCGUAUAUUAAAGUUGUUGCAGUUAAAACGUCCGUAGUCAAACUUUAGUCUUACUGGCGUUGUGGCCUGGUCUUCAUUGACCAAGCUCAUUGCUGCCGGAGACUCCAUGUUCAUUAGGGGAAAAUCUCUAGGGGUUUUUUUCUUAUUUGAACAAUUACCAUGAGCAAAUCAGAGUGUUUAAAGCAGGCUUUUAAGCUUGAAUGUGUUAGCAUGGAAUAAUGAAAUAUGACUUUAGUCCUAUUUUCGUUGGUUUAGGUACUCCAGUAAUGAUGAAUAGAAACGGUUAGGGGCAUUUGUAUUUGGUCGCUAGAGGUGAAAUUCUUGGAUUGACCGAAGACAAACUACUGCGAAAGCAUUUGACCCGGGACGUUUUCAUUGAUCAAGGUCUAAAGUUAAGGGAUCGAAGACGAUUAGAUACCGUCGUAGUCUUAACCACAAACUAUGCCGACUAGAGAUUGGGCGUGUUUAUUAUGACUCGCUCAGCAUCUUAGCGAAAGUAAAGUUUUUGGGUUCUGGGGGGAGUAUGGGACGCAAGGCUGAAACUUAAAGGAAUUGACGGAAGGGCACCACCAGGAGUGGAGCCUGCGGCUUAAUUUGACUCAACACGGGGAAACUCACCAGGUCCAGACAUAGUAAGGAUUGACAGAUUGAAAGCUCUUUCUAGAUUCUAUGGGUGGUGGUGCAUGGCCGUUCUUAGUUCGUGAGUGAUUUGUCUGGUUAAUUCCGAUACGAACGAGACCUUAUUCUGCUAAUUAGACAGGCCAACUCUUUCGGGUUGGUCUAUAUUAAAAUA
rnacentral:rRNA from 1 species